rnacentral:lncRNA from 1 species
GGGUAUUAACCCUCCGAAAUUGUUGUCAUUGAGUAGCAAUAACUCUAAUCUAGUAGCGUUGGUCAAAGAGCAGAGGAAGUUGAAAUCAUCGCGUCCCCCUCUUCCGAGAUGGUUCGUUGUAAUUACGAACUGAGAAAACCUUUGUAACUUUUCCAAAUGAGGCACUUCCCCAGUUAGUUUAUUUUCUGCUGCUAUAAAUUCUUCCAACUUGGAGGCAUUGUUUAUAGAAGGUGUGUGGGCUUGAGUGCAAUGAAUCGAAAACUCAGAGCCCCAAAACGGCUUCGUUUGGAUGAAAUGGUUUCAAUCACUUGUCACGUGCCGCACGAGACAUUUAAGUUUAAAGACGAAACGACUCAGCCCUCUGUCGUUUUGGAGAAACUUAAGUGGAGCACGUGAGCUAGCUUGUGAAGGAACGAGUCAAGUUUGUUAAAUCCCGUUACACACGUGUCCAGAUUCUGUGCAAUCUGGGUUUCAGCAUCAGGAGUAUAAAACUGGUUGUUGAGGGAGAAAGACGUGUGGUUCAGUGAGAGCUUGAGAGAGAGAUUCAGGAGUGAGAGAGGUUCUUCUUGUUGCUUGUAAUCUCUUGUUUAGAAGCUCUGUAUUUGUCUUCUUGAUUCUUCAAUAAAUCGUUUUCUGUGGUUUCUCCCGUGGAUGCAGAUUGUGCAUUUCAUGCACAAUCUAACCACGUAAGAUUAUGUUUCUUGUGUGUUUGUGAAGUGCUUCUUGGUUAGGUUAUACUCUUGAUAUUAAUCUUAGACCUAGGGCUAAUUGGAAUCUAUCUUAGAGUCUUGAUAUCAAAGCUUGGUUUCUUCUGCAACUUGUUUGAUCUUGGCUAGAGUCUCCUGGGCAGUGGUUUAUCAUCUUGAGUCUUAAGGGGUGUUAAAUCACUACAAGGUGGAAUAGCACCAGUAAAAUUGUUAAACGCAAUGCCGAAAUGCUGGAGAUUUGGGAGAGUGAAACCAAAGUCCAAGGGAAUAUUUCCUUGCAUUCGGUUUAAUACCACACUAAAGUUGUGAUGGAAGAGCGAUUAAAGAUUGAGGAAGGAAUAGUGCCAGACAACAUGUUUCCGCCUAAUGCCAGAAAGGAAAGAUUCUCCAGGUAGCCUAAAGUAUCAG